rnacentral:tRNA from 1 species
ACUUCUAAAGGAUAACAGUACAUCCACUGGUCUUAGGAACCAAAAACUCUUGGUGCAAAUCCAAGUAGAAGUU